AGUGAACGCUGGCGGUAGGCCUAACACAUGCAAGUCGAACGGCAGCACAGGAGAGCUUGCUCUCUGGGUGGCGAGUGGCGGACGGGUGAAGAAUACAUCGGAGUCUACUCUGUCGUGGGGGAUAACGUAGGGAAACUUACGCUAAUACCGCAUACGACCUACGGGUGAAAGCAGGGGACCUUCGGGCCUUGCGCGAUUGAAUGAGCCGAUGUCGGAUUAGCUAGUUGGCGGGGUAAAGGCCCACCAAGGCGACGAUCCGUAGCUGGUCUGAGAGGAUGAUCAGCCACACUGGAACUGAGACACGGUCCAGACUCCUACGGGAGGCAGCAGUGGGGAAUAUUGGACAGUGGGCGCAAGCCUGAUCCAGCCAUACCGCGUGGGUGAAGAAGGCCUUCGGGUUGUAAAGCCCUUUUGUUGGGAAAGAAAUCCAGCUGGCUAAUACCCGGUUGGGAUGACGGUACCCAAAGAAUAAGCACCGGCUAACUUCGUGCCAGCCGCCGCAGUAA
rnacentral:rRNA from 1 species